UACAAUCUCACCUACUCUCUGAUGGACCAGGCAACCUACCCCCUCCAACCCACUGUCUAGAACGAACUGGCAAUGAGGGGGAAAUUCCGUUCCAAUCCCCCAAGGUGGAAGGGUAUGAUGCCCACAGUAAAGGCCCCAAAGCAGGUCUUACUCUAAGCCCACAUGAGGUGAGGAAAAGGGGAAUCUUCCCUGAUGGCACAGAAUGGCACCUCAGGAGUGCAGUUGUGAUUCUUGGAGAAUAAUAACACACAAGCUUUAUUCUCAAGCCUGGGAGACUGUUAUCCUGACCUCUGUUUACUGCUAUUAAACACAGAAGAUUUACUUUGAAGCAUUCAUUUAAGGAGGCUUGGUAAGAGAUCCUGACUGGAAACCAGAGUUUCAACCCAUUUCCAGCCUCCAGCCAGAAAGUUAGAAGAGGUAUGAUAAGAAGAGCCACAAUAGAAGCACACUUCUUCACAAGCAAUGCCAUUCUCUAAAUGAAUGCCCACACUUUCAAAACCUAUAAACAGCACUGGACCUCUCCUCAUGAUUUGUUCCAGGUCAACUAGCACCAAUGGCCUGAGUAGAUUACAGAACACAGAAUGUGUGUGAAGACCAAAUUGUCUUUAUACCUUCAGAAACUUUAACUGGAAUCCAGAGUCUCAAUCCACUUCCAAGGAAACUAGAAGCUAUAUAGAGGCAGCCACUCUCACCAGGU